UGGGCAGUAUCCUAGGAACUGCACCUCGAAAGAACGUACAUUCAAUUUUCAAUACUAUUUCUGCCUUGAUCCAUUGUGGACUGGGACAGAGGG
rfam:Bacillus vietnamensis strain TCD-SED5 scaffold_5, whole genome shotgun sequence.